rnacentral:rRNA from 1 species
UACGGGGGGGGCAAGCGUUGUUCGGAAUUACUGGGCGUAAAGGGCUCGUAGGUGGCCAACUAAGUCGGACGUGAAAUCCCUCAGCUUAACUGGGGAACUGCGUCCGAUACUGGAUGGCUUGAGUUUGGGAGAGGGAUGCGGAAUUCCAGGUGUAGCGGUGAAAUGCGUAGAUAUCAGGAGGAACACCGAUGGCGAAGGCAGGUCUCUGGGCAUUAACUGACGCUGAGGAGCGAAAGCAUGGGGAGCGAACAGG